AACUUUCAGCACUCCAGAGCACUGCCACAGAUCUAGAAGAAAACCACAGCAGCGCCACCCAACACCAAACACUGUCCAUCUACAACUUCAGCCUCCACGUGGUCCACCGGCAUCCGGAUCACCUCUUCCAUCACCACAACAUCCAGCACUCCUUUCUCCACUGCCAUCUCUCCUUCUUCUCCUCUCUCUCUAUGCACUAAUCCAUUCAUCCCACCCACCCACAAGCCCCACGGCUCGCUAUGGAGAAGGUGCAGCACAUGACACGGGCGGCCAUUCGGCGGGCGUCCACCAUGGAGGUUCCCCAACAGGCCAAGCAGAACAUGCAGGAGCUCUUCGUCAACUUCUGCCUCAUCCUCAUCUGCCUGCUGCUCAUCUACAUCAUUGUGUUGCUAAUCUCUUUCCACGGCAUGUGAGAGGCCGACGGCGUGAUGUAACCAGCUUCUCAUCGAAAGACAAGAAGACCAUCCACCUGAAGCUAAACACACUUGUCCUGCACAUCAUCCUGACCUGAACCUGAUUAAAUCUCCAGCCGUCAGUAUGGAUCUGAUCAAUAACCGAGGACUAAAUCUGCUGCUCAACUUCCUGCUCAUUUUUGUGGCUCUACUGCUCAUGCUUAUUCUGGUCAAGCUCAUGUGACCAAAAAAAAAUGGUUACAAGUAACAAUGUACAAUAUAUCGGUGGCCAUAAUGAUAUCAGCCAAUAAUGCUAUUUUUUUAUCGUUAUCGUUCUGAUAACAUUAUUAGGCUGAUCUUAAGCCGAGAAAUGAUGUAUUAUUUCUGCUGGUUGAACCACUUCACGAGAUUGCUGCUUGACACUUUUUUAUUCAUUUGAUCACAUUUAAAUUGACACUUUUAUAUUUAUUUUUUAUUUUACUUGGUUUUGGUGACCAUAAGGAUAUCGGCCAAUAAUGAUAUUUUUUAUGUUAUCGUUCUGAUAACAUUAUUAGGCUGAUCUUUAAGCCGAUAAAUGAUGUAUUAUUUCUGCUGGUGGAACCACUUCACGUGCUUGCUGCUUGACACUUUAUUUAUUUAAAUUGCAUUUAAAUACACACUUAUAUAUUUCUUUCUUAUUUUACUGGUAUUUUGGUUUUGGUGACCAUCACGAUGUCAGCUGAUAAUGAUAAAUUUGUUUAUUAUUAUCUGUCUGAUAACAAAAUUAGGUCAAUAAUUUUAAGCAUAUAAAUCAUGUAUUAUUUUCGCUGGUUGAACCACUUCACCUGUUUGCUGCUUGACACUUUUUUAUUAUUUUAUUGGUAUUUUGGUUUUGGUUAAUGUCCAAUAAAUUGAUUGUUUUGUUGCAUUAUUUUUGGUCAGGCAGUAGAUUUUAUUUAUAGAAAAGAAAGUUAGCAAUAGAACUGAACAGUUGACAGUUGUUUUUACAGUAUAGAGAUCAGCUCAAACAUUUCUGAAGUUUUUAAAUAAAAUAAAUUACAACGAAUGAUUAAAAAAAAAAAUCAUUCGUUCACUGAAUGUUUCCAAUUAAGGAGAAAAAUUAGGAGGACAAAAGGAUUUUUAUUGGCUAAUAUAUCAGCCUCUAAAUCUAAAAAGUUACUGGUUAUCCAUCUCAGUUAAAAAUAUCGGUUUGCAUUCGUAGCGAGAUCCGAGAUCCGUUUGUUUCAAGAAACUCGCACUUUAUCUACAUCUUAAACCAUUUUAAAAGUUGCAGUAAAUGACUUCAGACUUUUAUUAUUUUUUUCUGACUUCACUUAUAGACCUGACAAACUUCCGCAAACUGAUUAGCAGAAAAAGAAUGAUUCUGAUUGGCUAGUUUUCGAAACCGGGCCCUAAGCAGUCGUAAGCAGUGCUGGUUCUGAAGCCUGGUUUCUCUCAAGUUUUUUUUUUUUCUUCACUUUCAUCAAAAAAAAAAAAAAAAAAUUGUUAAAGUGUUAUCAGUCAAGAACCAAGCAAACCAAUCACAACAUGACAAAGCAUGAUUUAAAGCAAAAUAACUGCAUCAAAAUUAGACAAAAAACAACAACAACAACAAAGCCUAACAACUUUUAACAAGAAAAAAAAAAAAUCCUACGAAGCACUGCGACUAAAAAUUUUAAUUGUGUAGAGCUGCACUGGGAGUGGGUGGAGCUAAACAUCUCUUAUUGCUGGCUUUACUGCGAAUCUCUGAUUGGUGAAUUCCAUGCUAAGCAUCAUGGGAAAUGUAGUUUUUUUCAGUAUGUGUUAGACUUUCAUUUACUUAAUGCAAACAGAUCAAAUUAACAAAAACCGAUAUGUCUAAUUAACAUUAUAGAGACUCACAACAACUUUGUCUUAAAAGGAUUAUGAGUUAUUGAUGAUAAUUUGAAAUUUUAAAAAUAAAGCUCAGCUGUCACUAAGACAUUUUAAGACAAAUUUUACUCAUUUUGGCAGUAGGAAUUUAUGAGACUAACGUAAUGUACAAAUUUAUUAAUUAUUUACUAAAAAUGGAUCCUGCUCUAAAGCCAAAAGUAAGAUGAUAUUAAUGAUAAAAUAAACAAAACAAAUAGAGACGCUUUUUUAAAGUAGCAGAAGUGAACAUCAGUACUUUCAUUGUCAUUUAGUUCCCUCUAGUGGUUGUUGCCUCUUUUUGCCUAAUAAAAUAACAACUAGGAUAAAAAAAAAA
rnacentral:lncRNA from 1 species